GACGAACGCUGGCGGCGUGCUUAACACAUGCAAGUCGAACGGAAAGGCCCUGCUUUUGUGGGGUGCUCGAGUGGCGAACGGGUGAGUAACACGUGAGUAACCUGCCCUUGACUUAGGGAUAACUUCAGGAAACUGGGGCUAAUACCGGAUAGGAGCUCCUGCUGCACGGUGGGGGUUGGAAAGUUUCGGCGGUUGGGGAUGGACUCGCGGCUUAUCAGCUUGUUGGUGGGGUAGUGGCUUACCAAGGCUUUGACGGGUAGCCGGCCUGAGAGGGUGACCGGCCACAUUGGGACUGAGAUACGGCCCAGACUCCUACGGGAGGCAGCAGUGGGGAAUAUUGCACAAUGGGCGGAAGCCUGAUGCAGCAACGCCGCGUGCGGGAUGACGGCGUUCGGGUUGUAAACCGCUUGCGCCUGUGACGAAGCGUGAGUGACGGUAAUGGGUAAAGAAGCACCGGCUAACUACGUG
rnacentral:rRNA from 1 species